AGCGAACGCUGGCGGCAGGCUUAACACAUGCAAGUCGAGCGGGCACUUUCGGGUGUCCGCGGCGGACGGGUGAGUAACGCGUGGGAACGUGCCCUCUGGUUCGGAAUAACUCAGGGAAACUUGAGCUAAUACCGGAUACGCCCUUUUGGGGAAAGGCUUGCUGCCGGAGGAUCGGCCCGCGUCUGAUUAGCUAGUUGGUGAGGUAACGGCUCACCAAGGCGACGACCAGUAGCUGGUCUGAGAGGAUGAUCAGCCACACUGGGACUGAGACACGGCCCAGACUCCUACGGGAGGCAGCAGUGGGGAAUAUUGGACAAUGGGCGCAAGCCUGAUCCAGCCAUGCCGCGUGAGUGAUGAAGGCCUUAGGGUUGUAAAGCUCUUUUAUCCGGGACGAUAAUGACGGUACCGGAGGAAUAAGCCCCGGCUAACUUCGUG
rnacentral:rRNA from 1 species